CAGCAGCCGCGGGAAUACGAAGGGGGCUAGCGUUGUUCGGAAUUACUGGGCGUAAAGCGUGCGCAGGCGGUUAUAUAAGACAGAUGUGAAAUCCCCGGGCUCAACCUGGGAACUGCAUUUGUGACUGUAUAGCUAGAGUACGGCAGAGGGGGAUGGAAUUCCGCGUGUAGCAGUGAAGUGCGUAGAUAUGCGGAGGAACACCGAUGGCGAAGGCAAUCCCCUGGGCCUGUACUGACGCUCAUGCACGAAAGCGUGGGGAGCAAACAGGAUUAGAUACCCCUGUAGUCCCUGUCUCUUAUAA
rnacentral:rRNA from 1 species